rnacentral:rRNA from 1 species
UACGAAGGGGGCGAGCGUUGUUCGGAAUCACUGGGCGUAAAGAGCUCGUAGGUGGCGUGUCGCGUCUGCCGUGAAAGCCCAUGGCUUAACUGUGGGUCUGCGGUGGAUACGGGCAGGCUGGAGGCUGGUAGGGGCAAGCGGAAUUCCUGGUGUAGCGGUGAAAUGCGUAGAUAUCGGAAGGAACAUCAGUGGCGAAAGCGACUUCCUGGACCAAUACUGACGCUCAUGUGCGAAAGCGUGGGGAGCAAACAGG